CGGGGUGAGUAAUGUCUGGGAAACUGCCUGAUGGAGGGGGAUAACUGCUGGAAACGGUAGCUAAUACCGCAUAACGUCGCAAGACCAAAGAGGGGGACCUUCGGGCCUCUUGCCAUCGGAUGUGCCCAGAUGGGAUUAGCUAGUAGGCGGGGUAACGGCUCACCUAGGCGACGAUCCCUAGCUGGUCUGAGAGGAUGCCAGCCACACUGGAACUGAGACACGGUCCAG
rnacentral:rRNA from 1 species